GACGAACGCUGGCGGCGUGCUUAACACAUGCAAGUCGAACGGAAAGGCCCUGCUUUUGUGGGGUGCUCGAGUGGCGAACGGGUGAGUAACACGUGAGUAACCUGCCCUUGACUUUGGGAUAACUUCAGGAAACUGGGGCUAAUACCGGAUAGGAGCUCCUGCUGCAUGGUGGGGGUUGGAAAGUUUCGGCGGUUGGGGAUGGACUCGCGGCUUAUCAGCUUGUUGGUGGGGUAGUGGCUUACCAAGGCUUUGACGGGUAGCCGGCCUGAGAGGGUGACCGGCCAAAUUGGGACUGAGAUACGGCCCAGACUCCUACGGGAGGCAGCAGUGGGGAAUAUUGCACAAUGGGCGGAAGCCUGAUGCAGCAACGCCGCGUGCGGGAUGACGGCCUUCGGGUUGUAAACCGCUUUCGCCUGUGACGAAGCGUGAGCGACGGUAAUGGGUAAAGAAGCACCGGCUAACUACGUG
rnacentral:rRNA from 1 species